UACAGAGGGUGCGAGCGUUGUCCGGAAUCACUGGGCGUAAAGGGCGCGUAGGCGGCCUGAUAAGUCGGGGGUGAAAUCCUGUGGCUUAACCACAGGGCUGCCUCCGAGACUGUCGGGCUCGAGCACAGUAGAGGCAGGUGGAAUUCCCGGUGUAGCGGUGGAAUGCGUAGAUAUCAGGAGGAACACCGGUGGCGAAGGCGGGUCUCUGGGCAACAACUGACGCUGAGGAGCGAAAGCGUGGGGAGCGAACAGG
rnacentral:rRNA from 1 species